UGAAGAGGGAAACAACCCAGACCGCCAGCUAAGGUCCCAAAGUCAUGGUUAAGUGGGAAACGAUGUGGGAAGGCACAGACAGCCAGGAUGUUGGCUUAGAAGCAGCCAUCAUUUAAAGAAAGCGUAAUAGCUCACUGGUCGAGUCGGCCUGCGCGGAAGAUGUAACGGGGCUAAACCAUGCACCGAAGCUGCGGCAGCGACACUAUGUGUUGUUGGGUAGGGGAGCGUUCUGUAAGCCUGCGAAGGUGACCUGUGAGGGUUGCUGGAGGUAUCAGAAGUGCGAAUGCUGACAUAAGUAACGAUAAAGCGGGUGAAAAGCCC
rnacentral:rRNA from 1 species